AUUGAACGCUGGCGGCAGGCCUAACACAUGCAAGUCGAACGGUAGCACAGAGGAGCUUGCUCCUUGGGUGACGAGUGGCGGACGGGUGAGUAAUGUCUGGGAAACUGCCCGAUGGAGGGGGAUAACUACUGGAAACGGUAGCUAAUACCGCAUAACGUCGCAAGACCAAAGAGGGGGACCUUCGGGCCUCUUGCCAUCGGAUGUGCCCAGAUGGGAUUAGCUAGUAGGUGGGGUAACGGCUCACCUAGGCGACGAUCCCUAGCUGGUCUGAGAGGAUGACCAGCCACACUGGAACUGAGACACGGUCCAGACUCCUACGGGAGGCAGCAGUGGGGAAUAUUGCACAAUGGGCGCAAGCCUGAUGCAGCCAUGCCGCGUGUAUGAAGAAGGCCUUCGGGUUGUAAAGUACUUUCAGCGAGGAGGAAGGCGUUGUGGUUAAUAACCGCAACGAUUGACGUUACUCGCAGAAGAAGCACCGGCUAACUCCGUGCCAGCCGCCGCGG
rnacentral:rRNA from 1 species